rnacentral:rRNA from 1 species
UGCAGUCGAGCGGACAGAAGGGAGCUUGCUCCCGGAUGUUAGCGGCGGACGGGUGAGUAACACGUGGGUAACCUGCCUGUAAGACUGGGAUAACUCCGGGAAACCGGAGCUAAUACCGGAUAGUUCCUUGAACCGCAUGGUUCAAGGAUGAAAGACGGUUUCGGCUGUCACUUACAGAUGGACCCGCGGCGCAUUAGCUAGUUGGUGGGGUAAUGGCUCACCAAGGCGACGAUGCGUAGCCGACCUGAGAGGGUGAUCGGCCACACUGGGACUGAGACACGGCCCAGACUCCUACGGGAGGCAGCAGUAGGGAAUCUUCCGCAAUGGACGAAAGUCUGACGGAGCAACGCCGCGUGAGUGAUGAAGGUUUUCGGAUCGUAAAGCUCUGUUGUUAGGGAAGAACAAGUGCGAGAGUAACUGCUCGCACCUUGACGGUACCUAACCAGAAAGCCACGGCUAACUACGUGCCAGCAGCCGCGGUAAUACGUAGGUGGCAAGCGUUGUCCGGAAUUAUUGGGCGUAAAGGGCUCGCAGGCGGUUUCUUAAGUCUGAUGUGAAAGCCCCCGGCUCAACCGGGGAGGGUCAUUGGAAACUGGGAAACUUGAGUGCAGAAGAGGAGAGUGGAAUUCCACGUGUAGCGGUGAAAUGCGUAGAGAUGUGGAGGAACACCAGUGGCGAAGGCGACUCUCUGGUCUGUAACUGACGCUGAGGAGCGAAAGCGUGGGGAGCGAACAGGAUUAGAUACCCUGGUAGUCCACGCCGUAAACGAUGAGUGCUAAGUGUUAGGGGGUUUCCGCCCCUUAGUGCUGCAGCUAACGCAUUAAGCACUCCGCCUGGGGAGUACGGUCGCAAGACUGAAACUCAAAGGAAUUGACGGGGGCCCGCACAAGCGGUGGAGCAUGUGGUUUAAUUCGAAGCAACGCGAAGAACCUUACCAGGUCUUGACAUCCUCUGACAACCCUAGAGAUAGGGCUUUCCCUUCGGGGACAGAGUGACAGGUGGUGCAUGGUUGUCGUCAGCUCGUGUCGUGAGAUGUUGGGUUAAGUCCCGCAACGAGCGCAACCCUUGAUCUUAGUUGCCAGCAUUCAGUUGGGCACUCUAAGGUGACUGCCGGUGACAAACCGGAGGAAGGUGGGGAUGACGUCAAAUCAUCAUGCCCCUUAUGACCUGGGCUACACACGUGCUACAAUGGACAGAACAAAGGGCUGCAAGACCGCAAGGUUUAGCCAAUCCCAUAAAUCUGUUCUCAGUUCGGAUCGCAGUCUGCAACUCGACUGCGUGAAGCUGGAAUCGCUAGUAAUCGCGGAUCAGCAUGCC